GGAGCAGUAACAAUGUUACGCAGCAGGGCAGUCGCCCUAAAAACAAAGUUAGGCUAAGGCAAUCUCGCCAAG
rnacentral:sRNA from 1 species